rnacentral:lncRNA from 10 species
UCAAUAGUCAGAGCUGAUGUUCCGACCCCAUUCCAAAUACUUGGCCUGAUAUUGGAGGCCCCACCCUCUCAGUCUUAUUUCCUACCAUUCUCCUCCAUGGACGGCCUGAUGCUCCACCCAAAUAGGAAAGUGGGACAAUUAACAUUCUCUAGGCCUGGGGAGGUGGCUCACACCUGUAAUCCCAGUACUUUGGGAGGCCGAGGUGGGCGGAUAGCCUGAGGUCAGGAAUUCGAGACCAGCCUGGCCAACAUGGUGAAACCCCAUCUCUACUAAAAACACAAAAAUUAGCUGGGCAUGGUGGCACACACCUGUAGUCCCAGCUACUUGGGAGGCUGAGGCAGGAGAAUCGCUUGAACCCGGGAGGCAGAAGUUGCAGUGAGCCGAGAUCAUACCACGGCACUCCUGCCUGGGCAACAGAAUGAGAGACUCCGUCUCAAAACAAAACACAAAAAACCAAUACACACAAAAAAAAUUCCCCAUAUAUGCCCCCAGCUUUCCCUGCACUGUGGCUCUGUGCUCACGCUUCUCCUUCACUACGCUGCUGGUGCCCUGCCACAGCACAGAAACCCCAUUGCCCAUUCACAUCAGCCUCACUGUCCUUGGGAAGAGUUGGCCUGGGCAGCUUAAUUUCUCCCUCCUCUGAACAUUUAGCCUUCUGCAUACAAAACACCCACUAUGAUUCUCUCCUCAUCCUGGUUUACAAAGAGUGAUUUUCCUCUCUAUCAGUUGUUUCAGAAAAAUUAUCAAAAUAAAAAUGUUCACAAAAGUCAAAUACUAAAGUACAGGAACUCCAGGGCCCGCACUCUUGACCAUCAUGCUCUCCAGCUUCUCAACAUACACACUUCCAAAUGGCAAAUUCCUUAACAGAAAAAAAGCAGGGACAAAGACAUUUCCUUCUCUUCUCCACAUCACUUGGCAUAUCUAUUUUAUCAAAAACUUUGUAUUGAAUGUAUGAAUGAAUAAAACUCUCCACCCUAUAUCAUGUCAACAGGCUUUUACUCUUCUUAUCAGAAAGUGCCUCCAGUUACACCACGGCCAUUUUCUUUGAAUUUAUAAAAUACGACAUGUAUUUAACUGGCGCGAAUGCCAACAGAUCACAGUAAAGACACUACCAAAAAAACUCCUACCCUAGAUAUCUCUUGUCACAUAUAAGAGGACCUUAAACAUCCUCUCAUGCAUUUAAGAAGGUAUCAAGUGUGGCACCUGCAGUAUUAGGUCAGCACGUGUAUCCUGGAGUGUGGGUUCAAACCCUGACUCCACCAAUAACUUCUGGUGUGACUUUUGGAAAAUUACUAAUCUCUCUGAGCCUUGACCUUGGCUCACAGAGAUUAGUAAUUUAUAAAGUUCACACUAACAAUAACACUAAUCUCAUUGGCCUUUUCUGAAAAUGCAAAUGAAACAAUCUUUGGAAAGUGUUUAAUACAGUAUCUGACAUAAACCAAAAACUCAAUAAAUCUUAGCUAUUAUCAUUGAGUUUAGGCAGGGUUCUGUGAAACGUGGCCUCUAGUAGCAAAGUAAGAAUAGCUUGCAAGCCUUGAAUACUUAAAAUAGUUGGUCAUUCUCACUGUGGUCACUAGAAGUUGCUUCUGCUUUGGACUCAUAAAUG